AGGUCUAUAGCUCAGAAGGGUGAGAGCGCACGUUUUUAACGUGAGGUCGCUGGUUCGAGUCCAGCUAGACAAA
rnacentral:tRNA from 1 species